rnacentral:rRNA from 1 species
AUUGAACGCUGGCGGCAGGCCUAACACAUGCAAGUCGAGCGAGCGGCGGACGGGUGAGUAACGCGUAAAGAACUAGCCUCCCAGAUAGGGACAACUAUUGGAAACGAAUGCUAAUACCUGAUACUGUGGGUGAGCGUUGCGGCCCAUUAGCUAGUUGGUGAGGUAACGGCUCCCCACGGCGAGGAUGGGUAGCCGGCCUGAGAGGGUGAGCGGACACAAGGGGACUGAGACACGGCCGUUACUCCUACGGGUGGCAGCAGUGGGGAAUAUUGGAGAAGGGGCCAAAGUCGGAUACAGCAAUUGUGUGUGCGCGAGGAAGUUUUCGGAAUGUAAAGUGAUUUGAGUUGCGAAGCAGUACCAACAGAAGAAGUGACGGCUAAAUACGUGCCAGCCGCCGCGGUAAUAC